GCAAACUUCAUCCUCUGCUUUUCCAUGUCCACCAGCUGCUGCAGCUUCGAGCUCUCAGCUUGCUCGUAAGCUUCCCCAAAUUUAAGUAUAGCUCGAGUCAGCUCCCUCACUGAAUUCCCCCAAUUCUUCCCCACAACAACACUUGCUUUAUCUGCACCUCCCUCUCUCCCCCUGUUCGUUCCAGGCCCAGCAGGCUUUACUCCUCCUCCCAAAUUCAUCAGCUCCCGCUGAUUCCUCGGCCUCUUCCUUUCGUACGUUGCAGGUGGAAAAUCAUCAGCCGAGUCAGGCGAACCAUCGGGCUCGGACUCCUCAUCCGAAUCCACCGCAGGAGGAGGGGGAGGCCGUUUCCGGAACUGCUGCUUCUGCUUCUGAAGGUGCUGUUGUGGAAAUUUCUCUUGCUGCUGCCUCAGCUGAGGAGCUGAUCUAACUCCCAUCGGGAUUCCCAUAGGAACUACCCUUUGGCUUCCGGAGUAGGACGGCCCUGCCCCCGCGCCACCCCCGGAAGCCAGUACGGAGGAGUUAAGCUUAGCAGAAGGUCCAAUAAGCUGAUCAAGCCUCUCAAAGAAGGGCCACUUACUGGGGCCACCACCGGCGGCGAUCUUGGCCUUCUCCAGCUUGUACUUCUUCUUGACGGUAUCAAUCCGGUUCUUACACUGAAUAUCAGUUUUAGGGGCUUUGGUGUAGUCUUCGCGGCUGCUGACGAUAUCAGCGACAUCCUUCCAGUGCUUCUGCUUAAGAUUCCCCCGGCUGAGCUCUAGAUACCUUUCUCCCCAGGCGUCAAUUAGCACCCCGGUGGCCCCUUCGCUCCAGCAAUCCUCCCUCCCACCACCUCCACUAUUUCCAGUAGGCUUCGUCUGCUGCUGAUGUUGUUGUAUGGGUAACGCCAGAGUUAGCGUGUUCUGAGAAGGCGGAACAGCAGCCACCGUCACCGUUAUCCUGCCGUUGGGACGCGGUGACACCGGAGAUCCGGUACCUCCCGAUGGAUGUGACUGAGUUUCUUCGUCGUCUUCCAUGCCGGAGGUCGAAAUCUCGCAGCGAUCUAGAGGGAGAGAGAGAGAGAGAGAGAGAGAGAGUGUGUGUGUGUGUGUGGGCGAAGGCGUCAGAGGGAGGGGAACAAGUGCGUGACUGUGCGAGAGAGAGAGAGAGAGAGAAGGGAAAGGAGAAAGAGGGGGUUUGGUUAUUUAGGGCUUAUUGUAGGUUUUAGAGAGAGGUUGACCGGCGGAAAUUAAUGACCGGGGAGGGGGGACGUUGUUUUAAGGCUGACGACUUUGCAACGGAUGUAGGAGUAGGUUAAAAAUUGCAGGAAAAGAGACCGGGAACGGGGGAAGCAAAAAAAUUGCAAGCACGCAAAUUGGGCUUCUAUUUUUUUUUUUUAAAGUGUUUUGGGAUUUUAUCGGUUGACGGAAAAGAACGAGUUGGAAGGGGAGGAGGGUGACGGCGUCGGUAAAAUGAAUGAAGGAAGGGGGUGGGACACGUGGAGGGAGAAAAAGGGGAUGGUCCGAAUACUUGUUCGGAUGUUAUUGGGUUGGUUACUGGGAGACCGGUCAUCGGCGUGAUGAAAUGAUGCCUCAUCAGUCUCCUCCACAGCCAGCCCCAUCAUAGUCGUACUAUUAUUACUACUACGACGACCACUAGAGCCCUUCGCCUCCUCUCUUAGUCUUGGCAACUACUACUGCCGGCUGGCUUGGUGGACCUUUUCCCCUGUUUUUGUCUGCUUAUCUCUAUCCUCCCUCUGCCAUUUCUGAUUUUUUCCCCUUUUUUCCUUUCUUUUUCUUUUUUCUGAAGGCAGGCACGGCGUUAAUCGGUUGCAGGCACUUAAGCACUACUACUACUACUACUAAUACGCUUCUCUUUUUCUUUCACCAACUGGACUUUGCUUCUUCAUCUUUGUGUCCGUUUUCAGGAGAGAGUUGUUCUUGGUUGGUGGAAGCUGUCUGUGGAGAAUACUUGGAAGCCAAAGGGCUCUCUCUCUCUCUCUCUCUAUACAAGACUAGAACAACUACAAAUGGUAAAAUCCCGGCAACUGAUGAUACCAGCGGCCAUUCCGAUGAAUUCGAUUAAUCAAUCAAGGGUCUGUAGGGAAAAGUGGAUAGGUUCGCUACAUCAGCUUUCAUUGAGCACCAAAAUCUAAAUGCAAGCCAAUUCAAUGCUAGUACCAGACUCCUCUCGCUAUAAAUCCUUACCAUCUACUCACGUACCACUAUUUGCUUACUAGCAAUUAUUAUUAUUAUUACUACUAUAUAUUUUUGGCCUAAGGACACCUUAAUUUCACUCAAAUUCACGUGCUCGAGUAUCAUAAUAAAUUCACACAUUAUAUGAUUCUUCAAAAAAAUUCAGACGGGUGCGUAGUGUAUUCGUUUGGUUCGGUGGUGGUUUUGUCCCCAUCAGUUCUCCGUAGGUUUAGUUGAGCCUCCCUCUAGUUAGAUUAGGAUAGAAUAGGAGUAUGGAUGAUAAUUGAUUAAAAAAAAAAAAAAAAACCUGCCAAGAAACAAUUGAGGAGAAAAUUAUUGGCCGGACUCGAACCCUCUCACCGUUCUGUCUAAACGGAGCUUAACGGCUUACCUGGCGGCAACGGCCCCGGUGCUCUGCUACCGCGUGUGCUGAUGUUGUAGCAUGGCUUGGUACCACAAAUUGGUGAGCAAAAAUUGGGGACGAUAAUUAAUCUCGCUUACACGUGUUGUUGACGAUAGUGAAUUUGGAUACAUAAACAUUACUUAGAAUUUAAAUUUUACCAUGCAACGUCUAUCCAAUUUUGCUAGCAGCGUAUAAAAUAUUAAUCUUUAAUAUUUUUUAUUGAGAAAAAUAAAAAGAAGCCAGUGUAAACUCUUUCUUCUUCUUCUUCUUUUUUCGCGCAUUCCUUGGGAUAAAAAUAGUAAAGCAAUCAAUUCGACAUUGUGAAAAUGCAAGUUGGUUUAAGACUGAACAAUUCUCGAAUGGGGUUUGAUGAUGAAGUGCAAGCUGUCGAAGGGCCAAACGAUUCAAGUAUCAACAUUCCGUUCAAUAUUAAUUUGGACCUCACAAAUACAUAGAAGGAGAUUGAGCAUUGCAUGUUGCUCCAAGCUGAAGAAGAAGGGACUUAAUAGAUCCGCCCCAUAGAUUGGGCCGCAGCGCGCUUCCGUGAAGCGUUUCAUUUCAAUUUUCUUAGUUCAAUCUCUGCCCACAAUCCCUUCACGGAUUCGAGUCAAAUAACUAAGGUUUUUUCUCUCUAAUUGGCGUUCUAUUAAUUAGGAUAUUUUAUUUAGUUACUUAAUUGUUGGUUAUUAGAAAUAAAUGGCUAGCUGUAUAAGUUACUUGGACCACUAGAUUAGUAAUUCUAAUGGAAUAAAUGAUGUAAUUCAUGUUUGAUUCGAAUUUAGACUAGUUUAGAUAUCUUGAUUAUAAAUAACUUUACUCUAACCUUGUAAUAGUGGUUCGUUAGACAAAUUUCGGCAAAUAAUGAGAGCUUUCUCUUGGUUUUAUUGAAAACUUUUCUCCAAUACUUUAGAAUUAAUUUUAAGCAUUUAAAUCAACAUGUUCGCAAAUGCGAAAAUUAGAAAGGUAUUUAGUACAAACUUGAGUAUCAACAUCGAGAUUUGAACUUGUGAAAUCGGAGUUUCGUUUUCAGUGGCCGGAGGAGGGUUCGUGUUAGGGUUGGAGCGAAAUCAAUUGAUUUUUUUUUCUAAAAAGUGCAUUUGUAAAAUGGGAUGCUGAUAUUAGCGGUGGUCGCACAGAGCGACUGUCUGAAGCCGAAGGGGAUGAAAACGUGGCGGUGCUGGCUUUUGGGGAUCAGACGAUGGCGAUGAUGAUGUCAGCAGGAGUCCAGAAACAAAAGAGGGCGGACACCUUCUCACGGGGUGUCCCAAUCAUCAGCUAGUAAAAUGGAUAAAUCAAAGAAGCAGUGGCGUGGAUGUGUUGGUGGCUUAGCAGACGUUCAUUUUUAAAGGUAGUACUGCAUUCCUCAGGUGAGAGUAAUGGGCUCAUGGCUUUGGGCUUCAAGUUUAAAAGCCCUUGCAAAAGCUGAGAGAAAUCCAAGAGUCUUCCCCACCAUUUCCACUCCGAUUGUUCUAACAUCACAAAGAACAGGGUAGUUUGAUUUCAUAUGCAAGUACAACGGCUCUAGUACGUUUUCUGGGUCCGGAAGAAAUUCAUUCAUGUUCAGCCUUAACGUACGUUAAUAUUUGCAAUUAAACCUUCUCUCUCUUUUUUUUUUUUUAACUCAGAAUAUACCUCGAUUCGAACUCUUAGGAUACGAGCCGGCACAUCAAACCGGUGAAAUGUGCCACAGCCCCACGCAGCGAUUCCAGACGAGUCACGGGAGUUCAAAUCCAAGAUAACAUUCGAACCCGUGACCACAAGGAUCUUUAAGACCCGCUUACCGCUGAAUUGUUCAGCCACGUGAGAGCAAUUAAACCUUCUUCGUUGACCGAAGCUGUGUGUAUGUUUGCUUCGUGUUACUGGAAGGCAUACAGCUUUCUUCCACGGCCUCAUUGGCAAAAAUGUUUAGGAUCCCAGUGACAAAGACAGGACAGGACAUGCAUGCGUGCGUCACGCUUUAAUUUCUUCGUGAUAUAACUCUCACUUUCAGUGUUGAAAGUAGCUAUAUAUAGAACAAAUUUUUAUGAAUCCGACGACGCGUAACAUGUAAGUGCAGUGAUUUGAUCCUUACAUUUUCUUUUGCCGAUCGCUAAAGAGCAGACAUUCUCUGGUGACGGCCAGGUCAAAUUUAAUACGUACGCAUCAAUCUAGCAAAGUUAUUGAUGAUAACUUUGACAAAUCUAAAUGAUAGAAGAAGUUUAACCAUUGCAUUUCGAGACUCUCUCUCGAUCGAAGAUAUUGCAAUUGCAGCAGCUGCCAUCACCAGAAAGUGAAUAAGCUCAGCUUGGGUCGAACCUUAAUUCUUUUAAAAUUGGGAAGCUUUCCAUUUUUUUUUCUUUUAUUUUGAUUCAACCUAAAUAUCGGGUGACAUCAAAAUAUGCUCGUCUCUAGAUCGAUAACACCCAUCCAAAGUGUUUGUAAAACAGGCAGAUAGCUGCAUCCGUAUCAUCCGGUGCAGAAAUUUCAUUGAUUAGCGAGCACAACUCAAACAAGAUACAUGCGUAACUAGAGCCAUGCUCUAUGUACAGAAAAGUCAACAAAAACACUAGUAGAAAACCAACCAACCGGUCCAACCCCCUCGCUCUAACCAUGCUGCUGUCCUAUAUUUACAAUCAUAUAUACACACACACACACCAUGAGAUAGAGAUAUGAUAAAAGAAACUUUUGGUUUAUUUUAGUAGUAUAUACUUUGGGGGGACGUAUGUACAAAAAGGAAUUUGCCUUGGCGGGUGUAGCUGGCAUCUAAUUUCCCAGACAAAAAUGGUCACCUCUCGCUUCUCUAUUAACGAUCCAAAGCGCUUAGUACAAUCCUGCAGUUGUAUCAUUACACCACGCGUGAGAAUCCUGAAACCUUACAGGUAAUUACAUUAGCAUACUGGAAAAACGUUUAGCCACCCCCCCCCCCCUCUUUUUCCUUUUUUUUUUUUCCUCAAAUGAAUCCAGCUUUGAUGUUGAUUGCAAUACAGAUAAAUUGAUACCAGAAAAUUAUUAUCCCAUUUCUUUAACCGCACUAAAGAAUUAUCACUAUAUUAGCAUCGUGUGAUCGAUAUUCGAUCGUACAACAGAAGAAGACAAAAUAUACCUCUCCGUGUACUCCUUUUUUUGUUGUUUUUUUUUGUUGGGGGGGGGGGGAGGGGGGGGAAGGAGGAGGGAGUUUGAAAAAAUAACAAAAUUGUUGCAACGAGAUCAUGCAUAACUAAAGUCAAAUGAAAAACCAAAAAGGUGACGGAGAAGAAAAUCACCAAUCGUAGCCCGCCGGGCUUUUUGGCUCCCCUGGUUGUAAGGCUGCCGAAUUGGAUUUUCUCCUCGUCAACUUCUUAAAAUUUCCACCAUGACCAGGAGCAGUCGCUACACCACACCCAACCGGAGGCCCAAAAAAAAAAAAGAAAAGAAAAGAAAUGAAGAGAAGCAGCAGAAAGGUUUCAAGACGAGAACAACACAAAUCGUUUAAAGAAAAACACCUCUGAAUCCCGAGUCGCAUGCAAAAGACUUACGUGAAAGUGGAGAAGUUGGGGUGGUAGAAGCAGAAGCAGCGGGAGAAGAAGGGACGGAGCCGGAAUCAGGGGUAGCAGAGGCAUAUCGCAUGGUAGGAGAGUUGCCACGGAGGAUAGUAAUGCUCCGUGAAACAGGGAUCAGAUGAUCAUCCACUGAUCCCAUCAUCAUGGUAGCUGGAGCAGCUGGUGCAGAUGGACGAGCGCCAGAAAAGGAAUUGUACUUGCGGAGUUUGCCAAGCCCGGAUUCAGGUGUUGGCCCGGCAAGCGUUUCGUCCCAGAGCUUGUGGAGGAAACCCAUGUGCUUUUACGGAUAUUUUUAGUACUGUUUCUUUUGUAACAACCGAAAUAGGGUGAUGCUAUGUCCUGGGUUUAGCAGCACUAAUACGUUGGUGACACCAAACGAUAUACGACUGUUACAAAGAGGAAAGAAAAUGGUGUGUUUUCUUUAAAUUUUUUUUCUUUUAUGCUUAAAAGCUAAAAGCAGGAAGGAACUGUUCGGAAGUUCUAGGCUUCUUAUAGAAGAGAAGAGAAGAGAAGAGAAGAGGAGGAGAGCGUAACAGAGAAAGUUGGAUAAGAUUGGCUGGUAUGGCUUUGGGUAAGUGGGUGGCUCCGGCUAAUAUGGCUUGGUUUGAAGCCAUUGAUUUCUUAAUUAAUGGAGGUCUGAGCUCCAAUGUGAAGCGGAAUUAGGUACGGUAGCUAAUUAUCAAGUCGAGUGAUAAAAUUCAGGCUCUCCCCUUACCUUUAAUAACAAAUGAUAAUAAUAAUAAGAUUCUCUGUCCAUCAUUCAAAUCUCAACGGCUUCGAGGGAAUCAAUAAUACUUUGUUCAUGGCUUCUAUUAGGUAGGACAUAAAUGUGUGGUCGGUGCCCAUAAUAUUUAUGAACGUUUAAAAUCACAAGUUCAUAUAUUUUAUUGUUCUUUAUCAUAUUUUUCUUUUGAAGCCCAACCUCAGAAGAGUGUAAUCCACACAAACAAAGGCAAUUAAAACUUGUAGAACCAAAAAAAAAAAAUAUAUAUAUAUAUAUAUCAAAAAAUUAUAGUAGGAAAUAAAUUUCAUAAAAUCAAUAUAUAUGUGGAGCCAAAUUACACACAUAAAAUUAUGUGUGAAAUUUUUUAAUAAAAUAUUAAUUCCUAAAUAAUAAAUUAUCGCAACUUGAUUCCAAUACAAUUACUGAUACUUUAACUUAAUUAGCACGUUGCCAUAUAAUAAUAUGAAAUUUUUUUUUUUUUUUUUGCAUCUUGAGUUAAUAUGCAAACUUAAUUGCAGCGAAAAUAGAAUGACUAGUGUGAAAAUUAAUAAGAGAUUACUUAAAUUAGACGUUAGAUAGACUUCUUGCAUGUGAAGCAUAAGUGCGAGAUUAGUGACACCAAUCAUUGGUUUAAUUUUUAAGCAUUUGUGCAUGUUCGCAUUAGACUUUCAUAUUCAAUAACAGAAAUAGGCUGCUAGUAGCAAAAAUGUAAAAUAUGAUGGACUGGGUAAGAAAUAAGACAUAGUGAAAAUUUUAGUAGCACAAGUGAGUAUUGAGGGAAAUUCAGCUGUUUAGCCGCUAGUGGAGCUAUGUGGAAUGAGUCAGUUCGAAGCCACGAGUAGUGUAGUGUUAGUGUACUAGGUGUAGUGUAGUGAGAUGAGAAUCGAGAUGAGAGGUAAAAAGCAGGCGGGGAUGGUUCCUUGAGUCAUUCAUUCAACCGAUUUUCGGAGCAGAAAAAGAUGGAGACAGGGGACGGUGACUCGGUCAUAUCCUUCCAAAUUCCACAGGCUGGCCCCGCCAUUUUCUUUCUUCCAUCUUUUUUAACUUCUUCACUGCAACACGCCAAUCUCGUCAUCACUCAUCAUCAGAUAAGGUUGGGUUCGGUUCAAGCGUAAAUUACCUAUUUUUCCUUGAGAAAUUUGAGCUCCAUGGGACCCGGCCCAUGCUUGAUGGUCACUUCGGAGAUAGUAACGUACUACUCUAUCGCCCUUUCCCUCCCCGUUUUUCUCUAUCUCACAUCGAUUGUGAGUGACGUGUACGUCCUACUUAAGAUCUUCAAUAUAACCUGAAAAUCGAUAUGCCUUUUGAAUUGGACUGUGAAUUUUUCAUAGAUAAUAUGUGCGUGUGUUGUUUACGAUUGUUGGUGAGUACUACUCUAGUUCAUUCACAAGGAUUUGUGCAUCCUCAAUCAAUUUCCCUUUCCUUCGACCUCUUUUUGUUUGUCAUGCGAGUAAAGUUUUCCAAGUACUCGCUUUAAAAUAAGUCACUAGUACUCGCAUCAUUUAUUUUACGUUUGCGAUUAAUCUUGUUUGAAUUGUUUUGAUUUUCUUACGAGAUUGAAGUUUUUCUCUCCCAAUGUAGUUCUUUUUAUUUUCAUGGAUUUCAAAGUCGAAACCUCGUGAUCAAUGGACGUAAGCUCCUUCCAUUUGCACUAACAUUUGAAAAAAAAAAAAAAAGGUUUCCUAAAUACGUACUGCUAAACACGGAUCAAGAUCAAGGUAUCACUCUUUAUUCACGCAUUUAGAUGCGAUAAAGAGUUUGAUUACACGCCAUUUUUUCUCUCCUGCUUUCUCUUCUUCAAAUAAUCACCCUCGAUUGCAUCUCUGCAUUUUGUGACAAAAUCAAAGCGCAUGUCCCCUAGUUGUUUUUUUUAUUAUUAUUAUUUUAACAAGCAAACAAAUAUAUAGGGCGUACGCAUGGACGUGCGAACUAUUAACAACUUCGAUUUGCAGAAUCAUUUUGAAGCAAUUGAGACGGAUCCCAUGUUCCAGUUAACAAAAAGGUCUUCAUUCCCUAUGGUCUCGUGCAUUGCCAUUCCCCAUUUGUGUGUGCGUAAAGGAUGGUAUAGAUCAGCUAUUAAAAGGGUGAGCCAAACGGGUUAUUAUAGCAAGAAUCAGCACAGUCGGUGAGACGUGAUUUCUUCGGGGUGAUUUCUUCGGUGGCCGGCCCAAAUCUAAAUUAUCCCAAGUUUAUAUUCCGCCAUCCUCUACUUAGGCUAUGAGUGUACCAAUCAGUCCUGGCAAAACAUAAAGACUCGACUUCUGGAAGGUAGUCCGACUUCAAUCGUACAACUGUCGUGUUUUGUCCUCAAAUGUGCAACGUGAAACCUAAUAUCAUAGCGAAUUUGACUGCAUUGAACCAAAUUUGAUAGCCCAUUUUGCAGAAAUCCCAAUUCCCAACUCAACUUUGUCGAGACGCUGCUCUGCUGCUGCCUGUAAGCUGUAACCAAUUGAUUGCAUUGAACAUUUGAACAUUCGUGCCCUCCCAUUGUCUUUUUACGGAUCGUUGUCCCCCCAAAUCUCCAUCAAUGCUUCCAAUUAUUGCUUUUAGGGAGGCGAAACUUUUCUUUCUUUUCUUUUUUCUACCGCUUUAUCUUCUUAGAGAAAUUGCUACUGAAGCAGGAAGCCUGAAUCAACCACCCCUACUGAUAUUAUGACUUGACCAUUUCUGGAAACUUAAUCAAUCACCAUCUACUGCCAUCAUUUUAUAAAGGGGAUUGAUUACCACCAGCAUUUUGUGACUCUUGCUCCCUCCUGAUCAGCGUAAUUUCUGUUAGUAUUUGGUUGGUAAAUGUCCACGGCACGCAACAAGCCUUUGAACCUUGUUGCAGGAAAACUGGCAAAGCUGGAUGAGGAGGUGAUUUUUGGUUGGUACCUAGACCGACCUGGAUCAGUCCUCUCUAAGAUGAAAUGAGGUGAACUCCUGUGUCCGAAGUGAACCUCGGUGUCCGAAGUGAGUGGCGGGGCUUCUCCCCUGGGAUCACUCCGACGAUCAAGUUAGUAUGAGAACGAGAAUAAUGAGAAUAUGAGUUAAUGAACAGUGUAGGCUUACUUGUUGGGAGUGUGUCUGGGGUAUUUAUAGAGGGAGAGUAGAGGACAGAGCGGAGGGCUUAUGCUGGUGGGACCCACCCUCUGGUCAUUACGGCUCUGUCCCGUGUCAGGAGGUUUGACUCUGACACUGUAGCUGCCUGAGCAUGAUGACGGGGUGUAUUGUGCAGGUGCCAUUAAGUGCUUCCAGUGCUUUUCAGAUAAAGCACUGGUCCUGGGUGAUGUCAGGUGGUUUGACAUCAUCAGCGUGCAGCUGAGGUGGGGGUGCCGAGGUCGGCUACACAGUAGGCUAGGGAAACGGCCGAGGCCGAGCUCAGGGGUGAUGCCCGGGACACGGAUGAGCUCUGAUGAGGGACGAGGUGAGUUCACCUCGGCCACUCGGGAUGGCCGAGGUGAGCAUCCUCAAUAAGCCCCCCAAGCCUCGGAUGCUCCGAGCAAGGGAGGUGCCGAGGCUUCCUUGUGCUGAAGUCCUGAAUAGUCGAGGUCCCGAAACUGCCCCGGAAGAUGCGGAGACGUGACACGUGGGCGAGUCAUUUGACAGGACGUGGAGGGUCGGUUGACACGCAACCGUCAUGUCGUGAAGUAGUGGGACGUUUCGUGAUGAUGGGGUGUCAGUCGAAAGGACGGGUCAUUAAUGAAGAGAGAGAGUGCCACGGCGUUUUGAAUUCGAAUGUGGUCGUCUUUUCGUAUUCUUGUCACCUCUUCGGAUUCUAGCCAUCCCCUAUAAAUAGGGGGUCCUUUUCACCACAUGGCCCAUCAUUUUCUUCUUCUGCCCGCGACUUGCAAAAUUUGCGAGCGUUGCCGAGAUCAAUCCUGCCAGCCGAAGUCACAGCCGAAGUCAUCCACUUCGUCCAGUUCGGUAUACAAUAGUAAGUAUCCCUUUUCCUUCUUAUCUUGUCUUUCACACAUGGCUAAAACCGCGAAGACCCGUAAGGAAACCGUGUCACCGAACUACCAGGCCGAGGUGAGGCCAGAUCCUGAAGAAGAAGCGACGACGUCCAGCUCGGAGGGGUCGACACCGAGUUCAGAGGGGUCGACCGAGGUGAGGGUCGGAGAGACAGCCUCAGAGUUGGAGUCGUCCGAGAUGAGUGAGGGUGGUUCCGAGGUCGAAUACAAUACCGAGCUCGGGACCGAGAUACCCCAUGACGAGGGUGUUCCGGGGCCAGUUGCUCCAGUGGACGCAGCCGACAUCGACUUCGGCCAGAUGCCGAAGUUUAGGAGUCGCGUAGGAAGAGAUAGGGCCGUGAAGGUGGUAGACAAGUACCCCUUCCGGCCGUGGUACGAAAUUUUGCCGCCCGAGGUGGAUGACACAGCCGCGAAACCCCCCUUUGGCAUGGUGGCCGUCUACGUUCAACAGCUGGAGGCCGGGCUGAGGAUGCCGACGUCGAGGUUCCUCCGGGACUUACUGCGUCACUUCCAGGUGAGAAUCACCCAACUCACCCCGAAUGCGAUCCGCAUCAUUGUGGGGUUUGAAAUGCUGUGCCGACAUCAGGAGGUGACUCCCUCCGUCGAUCUCUUCCGCCGAUGCUACACCCUCAAGGCGCACGCGACGGAUAAGGGAUGGUUUUAUGUUGGCAACCGGAACAAUGCCAUCCCGAAGUUGGUGAUCGGUGCUCCGAGCUCGAUCAAGAACUGAAAGCGCGACUACUUCUUCGUGUCCGGAGUGGACUUUCCGAGGGGUUUUUGGUGGAGGCCAAUUAAGGCGAAGGCCGACCCCUCUGCGGGAGAUGCCGAAGAGGAGUCCUUCCAGAAGCUGAUGAAGUCGGGACUUCGGCUGUUCAGCCAUGACUACCCCGAAGCCGUGCUCGUGGAUGGGGGGAUAAGUCGAGCCGUGAUCAAUACUGCCAAAGCUCCCUUCUUUUCCACUGAACUUAAGAAGCCUUGUAAUUUUUCUUUCGUAGCUUUGCUUUCACUUCGGUUAAGGCAUAUGAUAAUAUUUGCUUCUUGUGCAGUGACUAAACUGUCCGACCUCGUCGUCUCUGGCUCGUCCGAAGUGGCCAAGAGGCCGAAGAGGAAGGGUACUGACGAGACAUCGGCACUUCCGCCGAAGAAGAAGAAAGCACAAGGACAGGCUGCCAAGACCCCGGCGGCUACAAGCACUCCCACCAAGGUCGGCCAGAGCAGCUCGGCCACUGCGGCUACUGGGUCCACUUCGUCCGUGCCAGAGAGAGUGCCUCUCGGAGUCGUUACGGCACUCCCACCUCCUCAGGGCCGAGGCAAGCAGCUGAAGGCCCCGGCCAAUCCAGUCUCGGGGACUUCGCUAUGGAAUCGUUUCCAUAGCCCCCCAGUGUUUCCCGGGGAGGAGAAGACGCACUCCGGCAAUCAUUGGUGUCCGAACUGGAAAGUUUCGGUCAACGACCGGUGCCAGCAUCCUCGAGUUGCACAGGAGCUAGUAAUGCACUCCACUCUGCCAAGGGAUUUGGAGUUCAUGAAAAAACUGAGCCCGGCCGAGCUGGUUCAAAGUCUGAUGGUGACCACGGCUUCCAACUCAGCUUUUGCGGCCGAGAUGGCUCACAGAUACUGUGCUCUAGUCGAGGAGCAGGACACCGGCAAGCUGCAGAUUCAGAUCUCCAAGUUGGAGAAACAACUGGCGGUGUCCGAAUCCGAGAAGUCGGACCUUCAGAGGCAACUUCAAGAGGCUGAAGCUAAGGGUGAGGAGGCCGAGGCUACGAUGAAUAGUCUUAGAUCAGCCCUCGAGGAGGAGCAGAAAAGGGGAGACGAAGUGAAGAAGUCCCACGCACAAGCUCUCGAGGGUGCUGGAGCCUCGGCUGUGGACGCGUUUCGGAGGUCCGAUGCCUUCAUCAAGGACCUCGGCCAACUGCUUACGCCUAACUUCAUGUUUGGCUUCACAUCGGCCAUUGACGAGGCCGCAGCUCACCUCUCCUCCGAAGCCUUGGAGUCUUUGAAAAGUCAUGCCAGCUACAAUGAAAACUCCAAGGAGUUAUGUGAUCGGAUGGCCGAAGGCAUUCAGGCAGGAAGGAACUUGGCCGAAGUCCAAGUCGAGUUCAACAAGUGGCUGUCCGAACUCGACGACGUGUUCGAGGAGGUGGAAGUAGAGGAAGCUGAGGGAGACGAAGUCGGGGGGGACGAAGUCGGAGGGGACAUCGGCAAAGAACCUGGAGAUGAACACCCCGGCGGAAAAGAGGUCGAAGAGAAGGCUGCCCAGGAGGGAGCCAAGACCGGGGAUGGAGCCGAGAAGGGGGUCUAGGCUCAGGCUUUAGGGGGUGACCGAGGUGGAGAGUGCUUAGUAGCAUUCGGACCUCAGCCUUGUAUUUUUGUAGCACUCUUUUCUAUUGAAUGAAAGCCUUUUUCUUCUCAUCUCAGCGUUUUUUGUUUCUUGCUUUGAUUUCAUCCCUUGUUUGUCCCCCUUAUUUUUUAAUAACGGAUGCUGGGCAUCAUAUUGUUGAAAAAUAACUAAAUAGCUAAAGUCAACUUUGAUGAAAUAACUGAAUGAAGUCACAACUUCAAGCAUAAUACAACCUAAGGUUCUCGGCGUGCCAAGAUCUCGGCACUAAUGAGCCAUCUCGGUAACUCAGUUUACAAUACCCCUUAGGGUCAGAUUCCACAAUUCGGUAAGGGCCUUCCCAUUUCGGGCAUAAUUUCCCUUGCGGUUCAGCUCGGCUGACUGAAUUUUUUCUGAGAAUUAGGUCUCCAGGACGGAAUCUACGAUGUCUGACACGGGCAUUGUAAUAGUGUGCCAGUGUGUUCUUGUAUGAAGCUAUCCGGGCUGAGGCGAGGUCCCUUCGUUCUUCGACGAGGUCGAGGUCCAGCAACCUCUCUUCGUCGUUCACCUCGGCGGCAUAGGCUGCCAGCCGAGGGCUGGGGGUAAGGAUCUCAGCCGGGAUGACAGCCUCGGCACCGUAGGUCAGGGAGAAUGGGGUCUCUUGCGUCGCUGACCUCGGCGUGGUCCGAUACGACCACAAGACACUGGGGAGUUCCUCCACCCAAGAUGACCCACCUCGGUGUAGUCGGGUCCUGAGACCAUGCAGGAGAGUUCGGUUGAAGUUUUCUGCUUGACCAUUGACCUGAGGGUGGCCUACCGAAGUGAAGUGUUGUUUGAUGUCGAGGUUUUCGCACCAAGUCUUGAACGGGUUCUCUGCAAAUUGUCUCCCAUUGUCCGAAAUGAUGAUCUGAGGUAUGCCGAAGCGGCAGACAAUGCAUUUCCAAAAGAACUUUUGAAUGGUCAGCCCCGAAAUGGUCCGAAGUGGCUCGGCCUCUACCCACUUAGUGAAGUAGUCCACAGCGGUCACUAGGAAGGUAUAAUCCCCGACGGUUUUAGGGAAAGGACCUAUGAUGUCUGUCCCCUAUUGCUCAAACGGCCAGGGUGAAGUGAUGGGGACCAUGAAGUUGGAAGGCUGGUGGUGCUCGGGUGCGUGGAAUUGGCAGGAAGGGCAGCCGAGAACGAGGUCCUGGGAGUCUUGCCGAAGUGACGGCCAGAAAUAUCCAAGGAGCAUAGUCUUCUUGGCUAACAUCCUGUGGCCGACGUGAGCUCCGCACAGGCCUUCGUGGAUCUCGUGGAGGACGUGACGUCUGGCCUCGGGAGUGACACACCUCAGCCAUGGGCCGAGAUAAGAGCGUUUGUAUAGUUCUCCAUCGCGGAGAGCGUACCGAGCCGCCUUGCGUUGUAUUCUUCUCGACUCGGCUCGGUCUUCAGGGAGUGUUCCCUGACUCAAGAAGAGGAUGAACGGGGUCAUCCAGGUAUCUUCGGAGUGCACGGGGCAGGCCACCUCUCCCACAUAUCCGGGUUCACUCAGAACUUCCACUAAAACCGUUUUGUUGAGGUCAGAGAAUGAAGUGGAGGCCAGCCGGGAUAAGGCGUCGGCUCGCUUAUUCUGGGACCGGGGGAUUCUUUGGAUUUCGAAUGACUUGAAGUAUGCGGUGAGCUGGUGAACUUUGGAGAGAUACCUUUGCAUGGUCUCAUCCUUAGCCUCGUAUUCACCGAAAACUUGGCGUACCACGAGUUGGGAGUCACUGCGGACGUGGAUUUGCUGGGCGCCGAGCUUGCGGGCUAGCUGGAGUCCAGCGAUUAGAGCCUCGUACUC
rnacentral:lncRNA from 1 species